rnacentral:rRNA from 1 species
UACAUGGGGUGCAAACGUUUGCUCGGAAUCAUUGGGCGUAAAGCGCGCGUAGGCGGUUACUUAAGUUGGAUGUGAAAGCCCUCGGCUUAACUGAGGAAGUGCAUCCAAAACUGAGUAGCUAGAGUACGAAAGAGGGUCGCGGAAUUCCCGGUGUAGAGGUGAAAUUCGUAGAUAUCGGGAGGAACACCGGUGGCGAAGGCGGCGACCUGGGUCGAGACUGACGCUGAGGCGCGAAAGCGUGGGGAGCAAACAGG